GUCCAGACUCCUACGGGAGGCAGCCGUGGGGAAUAUUGCGCAAUGGGCGAACUCCUGACGCAGCGCCUCCUCGUGAGGGCUGCAGGUUCUCGGAUCGUCCACCUCUGUCAUCCUGGAAGAAAUUCUCUCAUGCUACUCCUUUGUGUAUUUCCUUUCCCUUCAACUUCCUCACCGGCUCCCUCCUUGCCAGCCUCCGCGGUAAUACUUCGUUUGCGAGCGUUAAUCGGAAUUACUGGGCGUAAGGGGUGUGCAGGCGGCGGAGUAAGACAGAGUGGAAAUCCCCGGGAGUAACCUGGGAACCGCAUAUGUGACUGCUUGGCUAGAGUGCGUCAGAGGGAGGUGGAAUGCCACGUGUAGCAGUGAAAUGCGUAGAGAGGGGGAAGAACACCGAUGGCGAAGGCAGCCUCCUGGGACGCAACUGACGCUCAUACACGAAAGCGUGUGGAGCCAACAGGAUUAGAUACCCUCGUA
rnacentral:rRNA from 1 species